UAAUACGGAGGGUGCGAGCGUUGUCCGGAAUCAUUGGGUGUAAAGGGUGCGUAGGCGGGUCUUUAAGUCUGGGGUGAAAGUCUGCCGCUCAACGGUAGGAUUGCCUUGGAUACUGGAGGUCUUGAGGGUGACAGAGGCCGGUAGAAUUCGUGGUGUAGCGGUGAAAUGCAUAGAUAUCACGAAGAAUACCCAUGGCGAAGGCAGCCGGCUGGGUCAUCACUGACGCUGAGGCACGAGAGCGUGGGGAGCAAACAGG
rnacentral:rRNA from 1 species